rnacentral:misc_RNA from 1 species
UCCAUGCACGUGUCUGUCACGCUCUCCACCGUCACCCACGUCUCUAUUACUCUCUUCUCUGCCAUCGCAGCCGUCCGAUCUGCAAAGGCAAGGGAACUCAGAUCACCGGUUACCUGUGUUCUGGACUCAAACAACACGGAAGGAUCCGUAUGCUCUUGCACCUGAUCUUUUCUAUCGGUACGAUCAACACCACUGCUAGAUC